rnacentral:Y_RNA from 1 species
GGCUGGUCUGAAGGUAGUGCUUAUCUCAGUUGAUUGUUUACAGUCACUUGCAGAUCAAACUCCUUGUUCUAGCAGAUCAAACUCCUUGUUCUACUCUUUACCCCCUCUCACCACUGCACUUGAUUAUUAA